CGGCGGAGGGCGAAGUCGGGCGCUCGGUCGUGAUUCAGCGCUUCUGUUUUUAACCGGCCCGUGCCCGGUUCGGUGUCGCGGGGAUGAAGGGCUCCCAGCGCCGCGCCGGUGCCUCGUUGGGCGUUCGGAGCGAACGUGAGGCUUUGCGCUCGGAGGGAAAACCCGGUUUAAAACGAAAGCCCCUCCGCAGCGCUUUCCCCACCUCCCGCGCACGCUGUGGUGGAGAGAGGGGCAGAACGGCGGUGUUUCCCUUUGGACGACGAGCGCCGGCUGACGGCCCGCCGCCCCCAGGCACUGCCACGGCACCACAGAUGGCCUCAGCUGUGCCGGGGGAGGAACGGGUUGGGUGUCAGGAAGCGUUUCUUGCCACAAAGACCAGUGGUGCUGUCAGCGCUGGGCACCUGCGUGAGGAAACGCCGGCGCAGGUAAUGAAGCAGUCUGAGCUGACAGAGGUAGGCACACAAACGUGUCACCCAGGAGGAGGGCUGAUGGAGUCGUCCUUUACCCACACUGGUUGCCAGAGAGCUCUGGGAUGUGCUGAGUGGAGUUCCUCCACCGUGCGUACCCGUGCUCUUUGUGUCAGGCUGUAGGUGCCUGAGCCAAGCCAAUAACUCCCUCACCAGCACUACAAAUUUUAGCCAAUUAGUCAUUACACCACAUCUGAGAAGCCGGUUAGUUUAACUCUUCUCAUUUUGCAUAGGAAGGAGGCAGGAGGGUUAGGGGACUGGCCCAAGGCCAUGAAGAGCAGUGCUCAGAGCCGAGCCUAGAAAGCAGACUUCUUGUUUCCCACGCCUACGUUUCAGCAACUAGACUUGGCUUGCCUACCUCAGAAAAUAGGCUGGCAUAGCUAUAGCUGUGUAAUUACACCGUUACCGUUAUGCCGGAAUAACCCUCCUUGUGGACGCUCUCCUCCAGAUGGAAAGUGACUUCCCAAAAGCUGUCCAAAUGAAUUCGCUGAACAGCAAACACUUUAUGUUUUUUGCACUUUUUUUUUUUUCCUUUUUUUUUUUCCACCGUGGGGUCAAAAUUCCCAAGAUGGCAGGUCUGGGCGGCUCUCGAUAGCUCUUACAAGGCAUUGGAAAGCAUGGGUAAAUGUAAAAGGUGUCGUUGAAAUGCUGGAAGUUUUGUCGUCAAGAUUUUUUAUGAUGCUUUUCAUCAAAAUGUUGAAAGCUGAAAGCUUCCAGCUGGCUCUCCUUACAGGUAAUAAUUUAAUAACUAACAGCUUUUCUCCCAAAGCUGUUGGAACCAGCUUGAGUCAUGGAAGCUGAUGGGAAACGCCAGACCCGUCCUCUACAGUAAUUAUUUCUGGUUUUAAUCCCGCUGCUCCAUAAGCUUUCAAAACCAAAUGAAGCUGUGAAAACAGGCAAGAGUGACCAAGGGAAAAGCAGGGGACAGGCACUAACCUGAAAGGGUUCACCCUUAAAAAUUAAUCUGUUAAGUGCGAAGACUGCAGAGAUGAGAGCAUCUUCACCACAGCAGCAUGGGCAUAGGGUGAAUCACUGGUUUCAUUGCAAAAUUCAGCUCUGCCACAGCUCAGGGGCUGCAGAGAGAGCUCCCGUGAUUUCCAUCAACCACGCAACUGCCCCCAGGUUACACUCUCUGGAGCAGCUGUGGCGACCUUGAGGCUCAAGUGGUGGUUUAGGGAUCAGGACACCAGUGUUCACAUCCAGCCGUGGACAGAGGUCCUCUGUGUGAUUUCAACCAAGUCAUCAUUCCUCUACGUUUCAGAUCUGUUUUUAAAUUGCAGCAAAUAAUGCAACGAGGGUUUUAUUUUUUCAUCUGAGCAAUAGCCUGAAAGCACUUCUCAGCUUUGCCGCAGACUUCUGCCACACUACAGAAGCUGCUUGGGGCAAAUCUUAUGGAGAGCCAUUUCUGGAGCUCCUUUCCCCUCUGUUUCCAUCCAUGAGACCUAAGCAGUCCUCACACAGCCAUGCCUGCUCUAGACAGUGCUCUGCCACAACAGCCCAGCUGCCCAGGGGACAGCCACCCAGUCCUGAGACUUGUCGUGUCCCCAGGGUAACCACAGGCCUCAGUUCUCCUUUGUUCUGUUGGAUGCAACAGAGCUGCCCCAUUUAACAGGGAGGCCGGGAGGAGAAAUUAAUGCCUUAUUGCUCAUCAGUAACAUGUUUCGAUAGGUCAGUGAUGGGCUCAGCCUGUUUCAGUGUAGUAUUUAACUAUAUAUGCAUUUAACUUGUGUGCGUAUGCCUUCACACAUGUUAAUAUUCAAAACAGCCAAAAAGGCUUUUUAUAUCAAUUCUGGUUUAAAUGAUCUGGUUGAUACUAUUUUGUGUGCUUUUAUAAGGUCAAAGUGUUCUAGGAGUUAGCUCCCCCAAGACCUGUGUUAGGUAUCCACAUAAAUAAUAGCUUAUUGCUGCAAAAGCUCCAGGUUUUUUUAGGUUUAGGAAGUUAAAAAAAGGCAUAUCUACUACACUGCUACCUUGGACAGCUAUGAACACCACUGAGCAAUGGACCUCCGGGUCAGCUUUCAUGCCUUUAGACUGAACCCUCUCUUUUCUAACCAAGAAGGGGUACUUUGAUGACAAAUUGGAUCGAAUCCCAAUAUACUUUGAACAGGACAAAUGUAGACCUUUCUUUACUUAACUGUGUCGGGCAAUCUACAACCAUAUAAGCACUAAUCUAUUCAGUAUUCCAUCUCCUCCUCUCUACUACAAAAAGGCACUGUUUUAUGCUUAUAUGCACCAAUAAAGAGACCUAUAAAGAAAAUAAUGAACAUCCUUGAAUAUUUUCAGGCCAUACCCUAUUAAUUUUAAAAGCGACUCAACAUACUGCACCCCUUGUAUUUCAGGAAGAUAAAAGCCUAUAGAUUAAUUCCUAUUAAAACAGUUGGUAUUUUCAGGACAUGCAGAUGUAAUUUAUGGAGAGGCACAAUGCUCAUAAUAGCUCAAAGGCCACAGAAACUGUAGAUCUGUGUCUGUUACUGUAGUUGUACAGGCAUUCAUUGUACAGAGAGCAGUUGAAAAGACGGAGUAUGUAAUCUGAAUACUAAACUUGUGAAUAGUUUCUCACUUGGGCUGGUUGGGCUUUUCAAGAGCAGCGGAUGCUUUGUGGGGGACUUUGUAAGACAUUCUGCUAAUACAUCACGUGGUUGCUGUAUUUUCUUCUCUUAUCGUUACUGUUAGAGCUUUAUUCAUGAAUGCACAGUAUUUGAUUAUUAGAAGGGCAGGAGCUCCCGCUCUGUGCUCUCCACCUGAAUUCAGUGUGCUCCGUGUGAGACAGUUUCCACAACAAAUUCUGCUUCUUUCUAUAAAGCGAGCAACUUGAGGUACAUGUAAACCAAAAGUGUGCAAGAGAUCAAGAUUCCUCCCCUCCCCAGGUACUCCGAUUGCUGCAUUCAUGUUACUUGGAGAAUAGUAUCGUAUUUUAUGUUUUAUUAUCAACAAUAAAAGUGUACAGGUUUUCUAUUUUAUUAUGGAGAUAUAAAUGUAUAUGGAUGCAUCACUUACAAGGUAGGGAGAUUCUGAAGUGUCCUAACAACUUUUAAUUAUGACACGGGCUACUAAGCGUGGAUAUUUGAGGCUGGGUUCAUCUCUAUUCUUUGCACAGCCCCUAGCAUAGUGCGGAUUUAUUCAUGACCUAGCAUCCCACUUCACCAAAAUUAAGAGUCAAACUCUACUUCGCUUAUGACCAGAAAUCUCAAUACCAGCAGAACUGAAUACACCCAACGUUGAAUGGGGAACAACACAGUAGUUCAAAAGUAUGGUGGACCACUUAAUUUACUGGAGGAUGGAGGCAUUUAGGCAAUUGCUGCCCAGGUUGAAAGUUGGUAAAAAUUACAGGUGUCAGUUUGGUUUAGCACUGCAAAGAACCAGGGAAUAUCCAAUGACAAAUGACCAUACCCAUGGCUUUGCAACAUUUAAACAUUUGGUGGGAAUGGAGUCCUCCUUAUGUUUCUCUUUGACAGAAUCAACGUGAAUCCCAAAAGGUCAAAUGCCUUCAAUUAGGUUUGAAAGGGCUUCUGUAGAAAAGAAGACAUUUAUAAACACCUUCCUUGGUGCUACCAAAUUAGGCUGCAAACAGCAUGGGAACAGGCCUUUUGAGGCUCAGCCCCGUAUCAUCAUCAUAGAAUCAUCA
rnacentral:lncRNA from 1 species